GGGUUGUGAGGUUAAGCGACUAAGCGUACACGGUGGAUGCCCUGGCAGUCAGAGGCGAUGAAGGACGUGCUAAUCUGCGAAAAGCGCCGGCGAGGUGAUAUGAACCCUUGACCCGGCGAUGUCCGAAUGGGGAAACCCAGUGCAAUCCGUUGCACUAUCGUUAACUGAAUACAUAGGUUAACGAGGCGAACCGGGGGAACUGAAACAUCUAAGUACCCCGAGGAAAAGA
rnacentral:rRNA from 1 species